AACGAACUCUGGUAUUGAUUGGUGCUUGCAUCAUGAUUUACAUUUGAGUGAGUGGCGAACUGGUGAGUAACACGUGGGAAACCUGCCCAGAAGCGGGGGAUAACACCUGGAAACAGAUGCUAAUACCGCAUAACAACUUGGACCGCAUGGUCCGAGUUUGAAAGAUGGCUUCGGCUAUCACUUUUGGAUGGUCCCGCGGCGUAUUAGCUAGAUGGUGAGGUAACGGCUCACCAUGGCAAUGAUACGUAGCCGACCUGAGAGGGUAAUCGGCCACAUUGGGACUGAGACACGGCCCAAACUCCUACGGGAGGCAGCAGUAGGGAAUCUUCCACAAUGGACGAAAGUCUGAUGGAGCAACGCCGCGUGAGUGAAGAAGGGUUUCGGCUCGUAAAACUCUGUUGUUAAAGAAGAACAUAUCUGAGAGUAACUGUUCAGGUAUUGACGGUAUUUAACCAGAAAGCCACGGCUAACUACGUGCCAGCAGCCGCGGUAAUACGUAGGUGGCAAGCGUUGUCCGGAUUUAUUGGGCGUAAAGCGAGCGCAGGCGGUUUUUUAAGUCUGAUGUGAAAGCCUUCGGCUCAACCGAAGAAGUGCAUCGGAAACUGGGAAACUUGAGUGCAGAAGAGGACAGUGGAACUCCAUGUGUAGCGGUGAAAUGCGUAGAUAUAUGGAAGAACACCAGUGGCGAAGGCGGCUGUCUGGUCUGUAACUGACGCUGAGGCUCGAAAGUAUGGGUAGCAAACAGGAUUAGAUACCCUGGUAGUCCAUACCGUAAACGAUGAAUGCUAAGUGUUGGAGGGUUUCCGCCCUUCAGUGCUGCAGCUAACGCAUUAAGCAUUCCGCCUGGGGAGUACGGCCGCAAGGCUGAAACUCAAAGGAAUUGAC
rnacentral:rRNA from 2 species